CGGCGAGUGAAGCGGGAUGAGCUCAAGCUUAAAAUCUCCGUGCAAAAUUUGCAUGGCGAAUUGUAGUCUAUAGAGGCGUGAUUAGCGUAGGCACUUGGGGCAAGUUCCUUGGAAGAGGACAGCAUUGAGGGUGAUACUCCCGUUCCCUCCCGAGUUGCUUAUGCGUAUAAUCCGUUUUCUUUGAGUCGCGUUGUUUGAGAAUGCAGCGCAAAGUAGGUGGUAAAUUCCAUCUAAAGCUAAAUAUUGGUGCGAGACCGAUAGCAAACAAGUACCGUGAGGGAAAGAUGAAAAGAACUUUGAAAAGAGAGUUAAAGAGUACCUGAAACUGCUGAAAGGGAACCAAAUCGUUUCCAGUAUCUAUAAUCCGCGGUAUAUUUCAUUGGCGAAUGUGUGCGUGCAUGUACUAUGGCAGCGGCUUUUUGCUGCGCCUUGUGUGUGUUUCGCAUUUUCUCGCUGGUGCCCUGUACUGUGGUGGGACGUCAAUGUCGGUUCGUAUGCUGCGGGAAAUGACUGCCGAGGAGGUAGGGCGAACGCUUGCGUUUGUCUGUUACAUCUGGGCGGACUUAGUAGUCGUGGUUGGGACUGAGGUGCCUAUAAUGUGCUUAUGAGUGGGAUCGAAUCUCCAUGUGCGCCGUGUGCGGAUAGCUUGCUAUGCGUGUGUAGCUGUGUGUGGAUUGAGUCGAGACGUAACUUAUUGCCGUUC
rnacentral:rRNA from 1 species